rnacentral:lncRNA from 1 species
AAACUAUUAUAUUAAAAAUUUGCAGGUACGUAUUACAUAUGUAUAUGAGUAUGCACAGUUUUUUUUCUGAUUUCUUUUUGCAGUGUAUGUACACUGUAUUUCAAACGGGCUCCAUGGAGCCCGUCCUCCAUUGGCCUUUUUUAGUAUAACACCCUUAUUACAUAGGUAGUUUUUUGUCUAGAUUGCGCCACAACUAAAGAUGUUGCACAUAACUACUAUAGCCAUACUUCCCUUUGUCCAUGACCAUGAAGAAGUUUUUUAUUCUGGGAGAAAAUCUCCCAAUCUAUUAAUAAUAUGCCAUGGUAGUACAAUACACCUGAACUGACAAAAUUAAAAACCAGGUUCAUGGACCAAGUAGCAAUGACUAUAAGCACUUGAGCGAGCCGAAGUCGCGCCGCUGUCACGACUCCUCCCACACUCGAGCCAUAGGGGCGAAACAAGGAUUUUUAGAGUGUCUAUUCAAACUUUCAAAGGCUAACAUUGUUUUAAAGCCAAAAGCCUUGUUUGUAAUUAAUGAACCCGUCGCCAUGCUACUAGCUCCAUCAACGCUUUUCAUACCGACGCGCAUGGUGGCUACUUUGAUGUCGCGAGUAGGUCCCUUAUUUCAGUUCCACUUGUUUUUCUGCAGGUGAUUUGUCAUCCUGAGGCCUGCCAUUACUAAGCUAUUCUAAAAAAAUCUGUGUUACUAUCUGAACAAUCUAAGGAGCUAGUUAAUUCAAUAAAGGGACAUAAUUGAGAGCCACAAUCACCAAAUUGCACAAAGCUACACCGAGUUUGCUACAGAUAUGCACGCAUCACCAAGUUGCGGUCCUCCCUCCGUAUGGAUAUGUAUAAGCAAUUUUAUAGUGACCGGAUCCAGCUAGCGGUCCUCCCUCCGUAUGGAUAUGUAUUGGAAUGAUCAUAACCACGAGUAACAAGUACAGAGCUAUAACUUUAUCAUAAUUGGUCUGCAUUAAAUUUUAGACCUACCUUAAUGUUCAUGUUGGUUAAGAUGGUAUGAUCAUGUUGUGGAUAUAUUGUUAACUUGCAAACAGCUUCGUAAAAUGGUAGUGUGUGCAUCACAAUGAUCCAGAUGCCGAGGGACUAACCUCUUCAAAAAUUACAAUUAAUUAGCCACUUGUUGCUACUUUUGUUUUACUAGCAUGCGUCGAACUAUUUAUACUCUAAACUUGAUUCUUAUUGCAGGUUCUGUAAUUACAACACUAUUUUUAUUGGAAUUGCAUCACCAUCAUAUGCCUAUCUAAUUUAUGUUUUUGAGCUUUUCUUGUUGGGCAACAUCUAUCUGAUAGCUAGCUCAUAUUAUCCAAGUGACGCAAAGCCUACAAGCACAAAGUUUGGCGUAUCUGCUGAGCAUGAUAGAUCAAGCGAGAUAUAACUCCCAUCUCGCCUAAGGUUUUUUUCUAAUCCAAACCAUUUUUGAAAUACAUGAUGUACAUUUCUUCUUAAAUACAUGUUUUCUAUACAUAGUCAACAUGUUUUCAAAUACACGCUCGACAUUUUUUUUAAUGGCAACAAACAUUUUGCACACACAAUGUACUUUUAGCAUUUACAUCAGAAACAUUUUUAUAUACACAUUUAAAUUUUUUCAAAUAUAUGUUUAUGAUGUCUACUUUCAUUCAGUGUGUACUGUACAUUUUUCUUAAACAGAAAUAAUAUUCGUUUAUGCAUAUUUAGCACUAUUUAAUAUAUGUGAAAUAUAUUUUUAAAAUAUGUUUUUUUGGUCUAAUUUUUUCAUACAUAUUGUUCAUUUUUUGAAUACAUCAGAAACAUAUUUAUUAUAUGGACAUCUUUAGCAUUUUAUCAUGUCUAAUUUUUUUUCUCAAAUAUGUAUUUUGAUGUCUACAUUGUUCAUAGAGAUUGUACAUUUUGCAUAUAUUUAAGAAACAUUUUUCUUAUACAUGUUUAACAUUUUGCAAGUAGAAAAUUAGCAUGUUCUAAGUAAAUCAAAAAUUUAAAAAUAUAUUUACUUAAAACAUAUAUAUUAAAUGAGUAGUAUCAACCCUGCCAAGAUCAAGAUCACCAUUUUUGUAAGUAAGAAGUAACUAUGCUACUAUUCAUUUUCCACCGUGCUUCUCCAUCACAUGCAUGCAUGCAUGUCUACCAGAAACUCUUGGACAAGUCUGUUGAUUAUUCCGAGUGAUCUCUAUUCUGAAUAGGAAUAUUUCUAUAAUUUAAUGUAUGUACCUUGUUAAAUCUAAUACAACAUAAUACAUAGGUACUUCGAACAAUGUACUUGCCAAUUCAUUGUAUUUCAUAAUACAAAGUAAGUAAAUAUUACGUUUAGAUGAAUUAGUGAGAGUAAUAUUAUGCCACUCAUCCUUUAUAUUGUUCAGUAGGAAGACUCAGUUACGGAAUAUUGGUUUUGUAAAGUUGCUCAUACGAAAUUAAUCUACACAUUUCAUAGUUCAUUGAUCCCCAACUAGGAUCCCAUAAGUAUAGAAAAUCACCCAAGACCUCCAAUCAUUAUAUGUCUAAACAGAAGAAAACGCAGUUCAUGCUCAUCUAUUAACAUAAAGUAUAUGAUUUUCAUGCUAUCAUCUUAAGACUAUGCAUGCUAUCUAAUAGACACUAACUAAUAAUUAAUGCAAGGUGCAUCGAUUGAUGCAAAGGCCGGGGGCUUUGUUCCUCCUUUAAAAAAAAUUAAUGCAAGGGAGAUUUGUGUGGUCAUAGCUUCAGGCACUAGUGCUAAGACUAGCUGAACCAUUUGACAGCAGAGAUUCAUUAUUCAAGUUUGUCCUGUGUAGUCGCAUAUCAUCACUAGUUCACCGUGGACAACCAUUGGAACUGAAGAUCUUACCAGAAAUAUGAAAUUUGAACCAAUUGGCAUUCAUACUUGCCUCUGCCUCUCGUUCAGCAAGAACGAAUGAACCCUCUAUUUAUAUUUCCGCAUCACAAUCCUGGUAUCCCCCAUUUGUGUGCACAUAAAUAUUUGAUUUCGAACAAAAUAAGGAACAUGCGAUAAAUCUUCUCUGCUACAUGUAUAGUUUAAUAAGGAACAUGCGAUAAAUCUUCUCUGCUACAAUUCCCGGAGUAAAGACUAUCAUCAAUCAACCCAUUCUAUAGGGCUAUUUUUUUAAAUAAUAUAUUUUUUAAAUUAAAUUUGAUAAAUAAUAUGCAGUUUGAAUUUUUUACAAAAAUAGUACACCUUCGACCGCAGCUUAGCCGAUAGGUCCCAGUUGUAGAAGCAUAACUUUUCUAUAGGUCACAGUUGUAGAAGCAUAACUUUUCUACAAGGUAUCUACUUAAGAUAUGAGCCCAAUUAAUUUUAGGUGGUACUGGUCGAAUUAUACCUCCAAAAAAACCACUUAUCUUCCCCACAAGUGAAUAUUUUUCUGANNNNNNNNNNNNNNNNAAGCAUAACUUUUCUACAAGGUAUCUACUUAAGAUAUGAGCCCAAUUAAUUUUAGGUGGUACUGGUCGAAUUAUACCUCCAAAAAAACCACUUAUCUUCCCCACAAGUGAAUAUUUUUCUGAUCUCCUCUCUCCCUGUUCCUGCCCCCUCCAAUUUCUAGGCGACUCAAGCACAUGAACAAGGGGACAAGCAAAACAUUGAAAAUGUAACAUGCAACUGAAUCUGAUGGCAGGUGCAUCAACAUCCUCAUUAGUCACCCAAAUUAUGCGCGUGGCCGUUCCAUUGUCAAUAGAUGUCUGAUGCAAUCAAAAUGUGUUGAUGGACCAUGGUCCCACUGAACCCACGCUCUGAGUCCUCUAUUUGCCAGGGAUAUGAACUCGCUUGUUAUGUUAUAAAUCCCAUGUUGCGUAAGGCUAUAACAUUCGAGUACAUAGUUUCAUAGGACAUGCUCGGAGGCCUUUACAAAAAGAAAAUCAGCCCAUAUUUAAAAGUUUCAAAAAUAAGAAAAAAUAUAUUUGAAAAGUUGUAAAUAUUCAUUACAGAUAUGUAGAAUUUUGUUGAAACAUAUCGUGAUUUUUAAGCUGUGCAAAAAACAAAACUAAAUCUCAGCCAACAAAAAACCCGCCCCUUUUUUAUGUGCAAAUUUUCCUUAAUUUUAUCAUUUAUGAAAAAAAAUAUUAUAAAAAUAUUCGCAGGUACGUAGUAUAUGUGUAUAUGAGUAUGCAUACUUUUUUCUAAUAAAAAUUGCGGUGUAUAUGAACUAGACAGGCUCUAUGGAACCUGUCCUCCACUGGCCAUUUUUGUAUAACACCCUUAUUACAUAGGUAUUUUUUCUUGUAUAGAUUAUGCCACAACGAAAGAUGCCGCACAUAACUACUAUAGCCAUACUUGCUUUUGUCGACGACCAUGAAGAAGUUCUUUAUUUUGGGGGAAAUCUCCCAAUCUAUUAAAAAUAUGCCACGGUGUUAAAAUACACCCACACUAACAAAAUUAAAAAAGAUGUUCAUGGACCAAGUAGAAACGACUAUAAACACUUGAGCAAACUGAAGUCACGCCGCCGUCACGACUCCUCCCUCACCAGAGCCGCAGGGGCAGACCCAGGAUCUUUUGAGUGUAUUCAAACUUUCAAAGGUAACAUUUCUUAAAGCCAAAAGCAUUGCUUUUUUGCGUGUAUAUCGGAUUAUAGCAUCAUAUUGUACUUAUUAUAU